GCCUUCAUGAAGCUGGAAUUGCUAGUAAUGGCAGGUCAGCAUACUGCCGUGAAUACGUUCCCGGGCCUUGUACACACCGCCCGUCACACCAUGAGAGUUGGAAAUACCCGAAGCCUGUGAGCUAACAGUAAUGAGGCAGCAGUCGAAGGUAGAGCCAAUGAUUGGGGUGAAGUCGUAACAAGGUACC
rnacentral:rRNA from 1 species